rnacentral:rRNA from 1 species
GACGAACGCUGGCGGCGUGCCUAACACAUGCAAGUCGAACGGUGAAGCUCCAGCUUGCUGGAGUGGAUCAGUGGCGAACGGGUGAGUAACACGUGAGCAACCUGCCCCUGACUCUGGAAUAAGCGCUGGAAACGGCGUCUAAUACUGGAUACGAGAAGGGUCCGCAUGGGCACUUUCUGGAAAGUUUUUCGGUUGGGGAUGGGCUCGCGGCCUAUCAGCUUGUUGGUGAGGUAAUGGCUCACCAAGGCGACGACGGGUAGCCGGCCUGAGAGGGCGACCGGCCACACUGGGACUGAGACACGGCCCAGACUCCUACGGGAGGCAGCAGUGGGGAAUAUUGCACAAUGGGCGAAAGCCUGAUGCAGCGACGCCGCGUGAGGGAUGACGGCCUUCGGGUUGUAAACCUCUUUCAGCAGGGAAGAAGCGAAAGUGACGGUACCUGCAGAAGAAGCACCGGCUAACUACGUG